ensembl:lncRNA
GUGAGAUGUGUAUGAGGUGUGUAUGAAGAGUGUGUGUGUGCGUGAUAGGAGAGUGCAUGUGCUGUGUGUGAGAUAUGUGUGAGAUGUGUAUGAGGUGUGUAUGAAGAGUGUGUGUGUGCGUGACAGGAGAGUGCAUGUGGUGUGUGUCAGAUAUGUAUGAGGUUUGUGUGAAGACUGUGUGUGUGCGUGACAGGAGAGUACAUGUGGUGUGUGUCAGAUAUGUAUGAGCUGUGUAUGAAGAUUGUGUGUGUGCGUGACAGGAGAGUGCAUGUGUUGUGUGUGAGAUAUGUAUGAGGUGUGUAUGAAGAGUGUGUGUGUGCGUGACAGGAGAGUGCAUGUGGUGUGUGUGAGAUAUGUAUGAGGUGUGUAUGAAGAGUGUGUGUGUGCGUGACAGGAGAGUGCAUGUGGUGUGUGUGAGAUAUGUGUGAGGUGUGUAUGAAGACUGUGUGUGUGCGUGACAGGAGAGUGCAUGUGGUGUGUGUGAGAUGUGUGAGGUGUGUGUGAAGAGUGUGUGUGUGCGUGACAGGAGAGUGCAUGUGGUGUGUGUGAGAUAUGUAUGAGGUGUGGAUUCAAAAAAUGUGGUACAU